rnacentral:lncRNA from 1 species
AAAAUAAUUAAGAUAAAGGAAAAAGUAGAUUUAAGAUCCAGUCUAAUUGGGUUAAUUAUUUGAAUCCAUUUUUGUUAAAGGGCUGUGUCAAUUUGCUCAGCAUGAAUGGAAAAAUAUUGUCAAUAUUUGGACAUGAAUAUUGAAGUGUCAGCAGUCUGUUAAAGAUAAUCCAUCGAUUUGGUAUGUUGUCACAUAUCCCCAGGCC